GCGACCCCAGGUCAGGCGGGACUACCCGCUGAGUUUAAGCAUAUCANUAAGCGGAGGAAAAGAAACUAACAAGGAUUCCCUUAGUAACGGCGAGCGAACCGGGAAGUGCCCA
rnacentral:rRNA from 1 species